GUGCCAGGGUACAGACUCUUAAUUCCUUCUGGAAUACUGAGAGUGCCGGGAAAUGACAGCUUAAUGUUCAGGGUACGUCUUAGUUUGUCUUGGAUCUUGUGACAGGGACAGCUGCAUUAGUCUUGGAGUGAAAGUGUAUCUGAGUAUGUUGGGCCACAUUUGCAGUAGUUUGUUCUGAACUCCAGAGCUAUUGACCAAGCCCGUCCUGCCUUCUGAGGUAUGGAAGACACUGAGGCCUCCUGACCCACGGCACAGCAUUCUCUGCUUCCAGCGCGUCUGCCUUGGGCCAUCACCCCAGAGAGUUUGAUCAAGACCCAAGCCUAAUCCAGGUCCUACCCUUCUCAGCCCCCAUCCCACUUGGGUUUAUUUACUUAUUCAAACAAACAUCAAAUGAGCAUCUACAUAUUAGGAUUCUAGAUAGGGGUGUGGGGUCAGUGUGCAGGGACGGCAGCAUAGAAGAGGGACUUUGGUUGAGACUUGAAGGAUGAAUAGGAGUUUGCCAAAGGGUCAAAGGAUAGGAAGCUAUUUGAGGAAGAAGAAACUGCAUAUACUACACAAAUAUACAGAGGACCCUGGUCAGCCAUGUGGUUGGAGCACAAAGUGAAAAGUGAGGAGAGAGGGAGAAGAGAGACUUGAACAGGGAAGCAGAGAACAACAGAUGGAAGAUCUUGUAGCUGAGCUAAGGAGUAUGAAUUUUUUUCCCCUAGGAUGGAAAAACACAGAAGUUUUUUCAAAUUUCCAAGUAGGAAGUUAUGAUUCCAAAAAAAAGAAAAAGAAAAAGAAAAGAAGGCUUUUUCUAAUUAGAAAGGUCAGGUUAGUGGCAUUGUGGAAGACGGAUUGGACAGGGGCAAAAGUAGACCCAGGGAGACUAGUCAGUCUAGCCAGUCAGCCAACAAGUGUUUUGUAAGUUCUGUAGUAGGUUAAAUAGUUGCUUCCCCCACUCCAAAAGUUAUGCCCAUGUCCCAGAACCCGUGAAUGUGACCUUAUUUGGAAAACAGAACUUUAAAGAUGUAAUCAAGUUAAGGAUCUCAGGAUCCUUGAUUAUCUGAUGGGCCUUAAAUCCAAUGGCAAAUGUCCUUAAAAGAAACAAAUGCAAGAGAAGGCCACUGAAGACAGAGGCAGAGAUUGCAGUGAUGCAGCCAUAAGCCAAGGAAUGCCCGGAAAUGUCAGAAGCAGAAAGAGCAGAUUCUCCCUUCAAGCCUUCAGAGGGAGUGUGGCCCUGCUGACAUCUUGACAUCAAACCUCUAGCCUCCAGAACAAUGAGAAUAAAUUUAUGUUGCCUUAUGCC
rnacentral:lncRNA from 1 species